CCUACGGGUGGCAGCAGUGGGGGAUAUUGCACAAUGGGGGAAACCCUGAUGCAGCGACGCCGCGUGUGGGAAGACGGUCUUCUGGAUUGUAAACCACUGUCCCCAGGGACGAAAAUGACGGUACCUGGGGAGGAAGCUCCGGCUAACUACGUGCCAGCAGCCGCGGUAAUACGUAGGGAGCAAGCGUUGUCCGGAAUUACUGGGUGAAAAGGGAGCGUAGGCGGGGAUGCAAGUUGGGUGUCAAAACUACCGGCUCAACCGAUAGUCGCACUCAAAACUGCAACUCUUGAGUGAAGUAGAGGCAGGCGGAAUUCCGAGUGUAGCGGUGAAAUGCGUAGAUAUUAGGAGGAACACCAGUGGCGAGGGCGGCCUGCUGGGCUUUUACUGACGCUGAGGCUCGAAAGUGUGGGGAGCAAACAGGAUUAGAUACCCUGGUAGUC
rnacentral:rRNA from 1 species